AAGAGGCCGUCACUCAAUACAUACAACUUUCGUCUCAUUCCCCUUCACUCUCGAACAUUCUACGCUUUCAUACUCGCUCUCUACUAUCUGCCUCCGUUGCUCAAAACCCAAAGAUUUCUCCGUCUCUCUCAUUUAUAUUUGAUUCGAUUAUACGCAAUCAAAGAUGGGCCGAUCAAGCAGAACAAUUUAUGUCGGCAAUCUUCCUGGUGAUGUUCGCCAGAGUGAAGUUGAAGAUAUAUUUUACAAGUAUGGGCCUAUUGUUGAUAUAGAUUUGAAAAUGCCUCCAAGACCUCCUGGCUAUGCUUUUGUUGAGUUUGGAAGUUCUCGCGAUGCUGAUGAUGCCAUACGUGGCCGUGAUGGUUACGAUUUUGAUGGAUGUCGUUUACGGGUUGAGCUAGCUCAUGGAGGGAGAGGAUCAUCAUCAUAUGACCGUCACAGUAGCUACACCAGUGGAAGUAGUCGUGGUGGAGUUUCAAAGCGUUCUGACUAUCGGGUGCUGGUCACUGGACUUCCUUCUUCUGCUUCUUGGCAAGACUUGAAGGAUCACAUGCGUCGAGCUGGAGAUGUUUGUUUCUCUCAAGUUUACCGUGAUCGUGAUGGCAUGCGUGGAGUUGUUGACUAUGCAAACUAUGAUGACAUGAAAUAUGCGAUAAGGAAGCUUGAUGAUUCUCUCUUCCGCAACCAAUUUUCAAGGGCAUAUAUAAGGGUGGAGGAGUAUGACAGGAGACGUAGUUACUCCAGGAGUCCUAGUAAGAGUCCUUACUCAAGAAGCAGAAGCAUCUCUCGCAGCCCUGAUUAUCGGGACCGGAGUAGAAGUGCUUCUCCAAGGAUGAAAGGUUCUCAUCGAGUUAUGUCUAGAUCUCGUUCAAGGUCUGUUGCAUCCAAGUCAGAAUCUGGGUCUCCUCGCUCUGUAUCAAGAUUUGGCUUUUCGUGGCGAUCUGGGAUUGCAUGUUAGGGACUUGAUGGCUUACGGUGCUCAGUUUCUUGCGACUCAUUUCUUUCUGGCAAUAAGCUGCAAGUUGAUGAGCACCCGCAGCGAAACCCAGAUGAUCCCCAAGGAAAUCUAGUCCUGCAGCGUCACCCCCACCCCAUCAAUCCGGGCAUGGAAGUGCCAGUAUGAGCCGGAGCCGGAGCCUCAGCAGGAGCAUAUCGAGAUCAAGAUCUAGAUCGGUGCAUCCUGGUUGAACUGCAUUUGUGGGGUAAUGAAUUUUGUAUAGUUUUGUCAAUGACUGGCAGCCGAAUGUGUCUAGUUUUAUCAAACAAUGACUUGAAAUGUGAUGUUAUUUAUAUCUUUAGCUACAAUCGGAUUGAUUUGGUUCA